UACGUAGGGUGCGAGCGUUGCCCGGAUUUAUUGGGCGUAAAGGGCGCGUAGGCGGUGUGUCGCGUCGGCCGUGAAAACCUGCAGCUUAACUGUGGGCGUGCGGUCGAUACGGGCAUCACUGGAGUUCGGCAGGGGAGACUGGAAUUCCUGGUGUAGCGGUGAAAUGCGCAGAUAUCAGGAGGAACACCGGUGGCGAAGGCGGGUCUCUGGGCCGAUACUGACGCUGAGGAGCGAAAGCGUGGGGAGCGAACAGG
rnacentral:rRNA from 1 species